rnacentral:misc_RNA from 1 species
AUUAACAAAAUAAAAAUGUGGUCGUCGUGCGAAUUUUGGUGUCGUUACUCCCCAUGCUCUCCACUCCAUGCUGUUUCUCAGGUCAAGAAAACUAAGAAUAUUACGAAUGGAAUGAUUUUGGGAGCUUAUAUACAGAAGAGAUUUGAGAUCAGCCAUCAUAACCACACAAUAUACAAGUUUUUCUUGUGCAGGUGUGGGCCUGUCACCAGCAAAAAUCUCAGGGUCAUCACUUGGAUAGAAAGCUUCCCAUGUGUAAUUGGACUCUUCAGUUCGGAUGGAUGGAGCAACUGUGGAUGCCUGGCUGAUUUCCCAGGCAUAAAGGUGGCGUUGGGGGUUAAUUGUCUUUUUGCAGAAAUAAUAGACACGGCGACCAUGUCGAUCAAAGUUGUCCUUUUAUCCACUCUCGUCAAGAGAUUGGAGAGAUACCAGGGUGAGAGCGCAGUCUUAUAUGGCAUUAAAUCGGUCAAAACUGUGACAGUCGUGACGUUCCUCAAUCAACAGAAGGACGAUGAAAACUACGAAAAUAUACUGCCCGCUGGGCUAGAGAGAAUUGGUGCCUUUGGUCACAGACUGGAUGAAAUCAACUCUGAUAAUGAUGUAGCUUUGAUUCAAGACGAGAAAUUGAAGUGCUAUGUACAAGACAAAGAUGACACUUUCAAGAAUGUUCCUUUCAAAACCGUGGAGAGUGUUGACCUGGCCACGCUGAGAAUACAGACAAAAAUUGCUGUACAGCUUUCAGCAAAGGAAGAAGAAACAGAUGGAUUCCUCGACAAGCUCUUGGACAAAAUCAAUUCUGAUGCAGCUUCAUUUGUGAUGGACAAGUCUAGGGUUGUGCUCUCAUGCAGUGGUGACAAAUCAGUACUGUAUGGGGCUCCACAAGAUGUCAACGUUGAAGAACUUACUACAUACAUUCAAGAAGAAGAAGAUGAAGAAAAUGUCAAGGCCAAGAAAAGAUCUGUCGACAAAGAUGUCACUCUUCUCUUCAAGCUCUUCUGGUCAACCGUUCCAGAAGAUGCAUCUACAGGUGUUCCACAGUGUGCACCCCUGAUAUAUCAUCAGCGAAGAAGUAGUAUGGUGUUCUGCCUCUCUUUUGAUACAAUCUCUGUAGUUCCUUGGUCUGACCCGGCAGAAAAUAUUGGGCCAAUUCUCUGCAUGGCCAUGACACGCCAACUCAAACUCAUCAUGGAAGAUUUGAAGGAACAGCAACGUCACACAUCUAUCCGAAACAUCGAAAUCCCCAAAAUAUUCCAUUUUUAUCCCGAAUCAUUGCAGCAUUACGUUACGUUAGUCUAUCAUCCACAGAGGAGUGAAAAAUCUUUAGAGGAUUACAGGAAAGAAGUCCACCAGUGGUUUGAUUUGCCACCGAUCUGCCCGGUGUUUAAACGUGGAAACAAGCACUGGUUCCAAGAGGAUUACGAAAACAAUCGUCAGUUGAUCAACACGCAUAUGGGUCUCAACUUGACUGGUAGCGAUGUUGCUCUAGUUCAGGGUAGAUACGCUUACCAUCACUACAUGCAAGAUAAUUUCGACGAUAACGGCUGGGGUUGCGCUUAUAGAUCACUUCAGUCUAUUAUAUCUUGGUUCCGGCUCCAGGGAUAUGCGGAUCGCACGGUUCCAACGCAUCAAGAAAUCCAGCAGUGUUUGGUAGAUAUUGGAGACAAACCACCUAGUUUCGUGAAAUCUAGACAAUGGAUUGGAUCAAUGGAAGUUUCAUUUUGCCUUCAGACGCUGAUCGGAGUCGAAUCGACUAUUCUCAAUGUGUCGAGUGGCGCCGAAAUGAGUUCAAAAGGACGGCAACUAGCCGAACAUUUCCGUACUCAUGGAACACCCAUCAUGAUCGGCGGUGGCGUUCUGGCCCACACCAUAAUUGGUAUCGAUUAUAACGAAGAUACGGGUGACGCACGAUUCCUCAUAUUGGAUCCGCAUUACACUGGAGGUGAAGACUUGCGAGUUAUCCAGAACAAGGGAUGGUGCAACUGGAAACCGUCGAGCUUCUGGAAAGCCGAUUCUUUCUACAACAUGUGCCUGCCACUAAGACCCACCACUUUUUAAAGACUUGAAAUGUUUGGGUGGUAUUUAUCAACAUUGUUUCCUCCCGCCUCCGCAGGAAAUGUUAAUUGUUGUUGCUUCCAUAUUGAAAUUUUUUCUUUAUUGGCUUGGUGCUGUUUAAUCUUUUAAUAAAUCCAUAAAGGUUUGCUUAGUUAAACAAACACAAGAAGAAGGACAACCGAGAUUUUGAAUUUUUCAGGU